rnacentral:rRNA from 1 species
UACGGAGGAUUCGAGCGUUAUCCGAAAUUAUUGGGUUUAAAGGGUGCGUAGGCUGCUAUAUAAGUCACUGGUGAAAUUUCGAGGCUCAACUUCGAUAGUGCCGGUGAAACUAUAUGGCUUGAGUACACCAGAAGUAGGCGGAAUGUGCCAAGUAGCGGUGAAAUGCAUAGAUAUGUCACAGAACACCAAUAGCGAAAGCAGCUUACAAAAGUGGCACUGACGCUGAUGCACGAAAGCGUGGGGAUCAAACAGG